rnacentral:rRNA from 1 species
UACGUAGGGUGCGAGCGUUGUCCGGAAUUAUUGGGCGUAAAGAGCUCGUAGGCGGUGUGUCACGUCGGCCGUGAAAACCUGGGGCUUAACUCUGGGCGUGCGGUCGAUACGGGCAUCACUAGAGUUCGGCAGGGGAGACUGAAAUUCCUGGUGUAGCGGUGAAAUGCGCAGAUAUCAGGAGGAACACCGGUGGCGAAGGCGGGUCUCUGGGCCGAUACUGACGCUGAGGAGCGAAAGCAUGGGUAGCGAACAGG